GAGUUUGAUCCGGCUCAGAGUGAACGCUGGCGGCGUGCUUAACACAUGCAAGUCGAACGAGAACGGCUCUAGCUUGCUAGAGUGUCAGCUAAGUGGCGGACGGGUGAGUAAUGUAUAGUUAAUCUGCCCUUUAGAGGGGGAUAACAGUUAGAAAUGACUGCUAAUACCCCAUACACCUUUUGCCUUAAUGGUAAUUGGGAAAUGUUUUUUCGCUAAAGGAUGAGACUAUAUGGUAUCAGGUAGUUGGUGGGGUAAGAGCCCACCAAGCCAAUGACGCCUAGCUGGUCUGAGAGGAUGAUCAGCCACACUGGAACUGAGACACGGUCCAGACUCCUACGGGAGGCAGCAGUGGGGAAUAUUGUACAAUGGGGGAAACCCUGAUGCAGCAACGCCGCGUGGAGGAU
rnacentral:rRNA from 1 species